rnacentral:rRNA from 1 species
GACCCACAGCUAAGGUCCCAAAUUUUGUGCUAAGUGGAAAACCAUGUGGAAAGGCACAGACAGCCAGGAGGUUGGCUUAGAAGCAGCCACCCUUUAAAGAAAGCGUAAUAGCUCACUGGUCGAGUCGGUCUGCGGGGAAGAUUUAACGGGGCUAAGCACAGAACCGAAGCUUGGGGUGCAUAACUUUGUUAUGCGCGGUAGAGGAGCGUUCCGUAAGCCGUUGAAGGUGGAUUGAGAAGUCUGCUGGAGGUAUCGGAAGUGCGAAUGCUGACAUGAGUAACGAUAAUGCGGGUGAAAAACCCGCACGCCGAAAGCCCAAGGUUUCCUUGCGCAACGUUAAUCGGCGCAGGGUGAGUCGGCCCCUAAGGCGAGGACGAAAGUCGUAGUCGAUGGGAAGCAGGUUAAUAUUCCUGCACCUCGCGUAAGUGCGAUGGAGGGACGGAGAAGGUUAGGUG